AUACUAACCUAGCAUGGGAGAUACCAUGAUCACACAGGUGGUUUUCCCUGGGAGAGGCUUAGUCCUUGUACUCUGAAUAUGCUGUCCACUGUGAUUUCCCCAAAUGCAGGAAACUCAACUGCAUAAUUUGUGGUAGUUAAGACUGCAUUCAUGCUUUCC
rnacentral:snRNA from 1 species